UCAUCCACGCUUUGCCCACCCGCGUCGAGAGACCCCGUUCCACGCAGACACAGGGACCCAGAAGGUCUGCAGCAGCUGGCGCCCGAACAGGGACACCAGAGCGAGAGACUUGAACGUGAUUCCCAGCGUGGAGUCUGCUUACUUAUACACGCCUGUAACUCCAGCACCAGGGGGUCCGAUGCCCUCUUCUGUCCUCCAUGGGCACAUCUGACUUCUGUACACAUGUAAUGCCCACAGACACACAAACCAGAGGCUGCAGUUUCAUCAUGCCUGUCCACAACCCUCUGGAUAAAGAGUGUGUCCCAGGAUUGGAGCUAUUAAAACCCUGACAUUCUGGAGAUGACCCUUGCCUGCCACCACCAAGCGUGGGUAGAGCAGAAGAUACCCGGAGACGUGAGUGCCACUAAGAAGAGCAGGUGAGUGGUGGAGAGAUGGGAGAGGAGGAGAAGCAGAAGGAUGUGGGCACAGUGAGGAGAGGCGGGAUGGAGACUGGAUGGAAGUGAGGAACAGCCUGAUGUGAGUAGCCUGCUCUCUCAUGUGACACCAUGGUGAAGUCCCAGCCUGUGGGUCCGUGGCACUGCAGCAACAGGGGUCUGUGUUGAUGAACAUGACCCACCAAAGGCCAUGCAGACAUCCCUGGUCUGGGUUGCAGCCUGGGGCCAUAUAGAUGUCCGAGGGCGCUGCAAGACUGGCCCCGCCCCUCAUCUGGACAGUGCUGGAGAACUGGCCCUAGGGGUGUGGGUGCAGGAGAGCUCAUGAGCUGACCAACUCAGCUGCCACCCAG